AAACCGUCCCCUAAGUUUUGCAACUGUAGCAGUUUUGGCCCCCAAGAUCAAUUUUUGGUAAAAAAUAAAUAAAUAACACGUGACAUCUCACUUAGGGUGUCACAUCAACGUAGACCGAGUCAAAAUUGACCUUGAGGGUCAAAACUGUCACAAAUGCAAAACUUAGGGGGAGAUUU
rnacentral:pre_miRNA from 1 species